UACGUAGGGGGGCUAGCGUUGUCCGGAUUUAUUGGGCGUAAAGAGCUCGUAGGCGGCUUGUCACGUCGGUUGUGAAAAGCCCCGGGGGCUUAACCCCCGGGUCUGCAGUCGAUACGGGCAGGCUAGAGUUCGGUAGGGGAGAUCGGAAUUCCUGGUGUAGCGGUGAAAUGCGCAGAUAUCAGGAGGAACACCGGUGGCGAAGGCGGAUCUCUGGGCCGAUACUGACGCUGAGGAGCGAAAGCGUGGGGAGCGAACAGG
rnacentral:rRNA from 1 species